CUACGGGGGGCUCCAGCAGGGAAUCUUGCGCAAUGGGCGAAAGCCUGACGCAGCGACGCCGCGUGGGGGAUGAAGGCCUUCGGGUUGUAAACCCCUUUCAGGAGGGAAGAAAAUGACGGUACCUCCAGAAGAAGCCCCGGCCAACUACGUGCCAGCAGCCGCGGUAAUACGUAGGGGGCGAGCGUUGUCCGGAUUUAUUGGGCGUAAAGGGCUCGUAGGCGGCUUGACAAGUCGGCCGUGAAAACCCAGGGCUCAACCCUGGGACGCCGGUCGAUACUGUCAUGGCUAGGGUCCGGUAGAGGAGAACGGAAUUCCCGGUGUAGCGGUGAAAUGCGCAGAUAUCGGGAGGAACACCAGUAGCGAAGGCGGUUCUCUGGGCCGGUACCGACGCUGAGGAGCGAAAGCGUGGGGAGCAAACAGGAUUAGAUACCCCCGUAGUC
rnacentral:rRNA from 1 species